rnacentral:rRNA from 1 species
AAAUUGAAGAGUUUGAUCAUGGCUCAGAUUGAACGCUGGCGACAGGCCUAACACAUGCAAGUCGAACGGUAACAGGAAACAGCUUGCUGUUUCGCUGACGAGUGGCGGACGGGUGAGUAAUGUCUGGGAAACUGCCUGAUGGAGGGGGAUAACUACUGGAAAC